rnacentral:sRNA from 1 species
UUGAAUCCACAGAAACUUGACCAGCAAU